CUGCUCUCUUCAUUCGGUCACCAUCGUCGAGAAGGAUAAUUCUGAAGAUGCAAGUGAAGAUUGAGAUGCUUAUCAUGAUGGUUUAUUGACAAAGAUGGAAAUUGAAAGAUGUAUGGUUGAUGAUGAUGUCUGUUAUUAGAAGCUAAGAUACAUUUAUAUGAUAUAAUAUUUUAGUUUUUCCUAGUUUAUUAGUAGUAAACUCUAAGUGCAUUAUAUGAGUAUACUUAUUCUAGUUUGAGAUGUAUGAAUACUCAAAAUUAUGAUCA